rnacentral:rRNA from 1 species
ACCUACGGGGGGCAGCAGUGGGGAAUUGUUCGCAAUGGGCGCAAGCCUGACGACGCAACGCCGCGUGGAGGAUGAAGAUCUUCGGGUCGUAAACUCCUUUCGAUCGAGACGAACGGCCUCCGGGCUAACAUCCUGGAGGAGUGACGGUACCGAGAGAAGAAGCCCCGGCUAACUCCGUGCCAGCAGCCGCGGUAAUACGGGGGGGGCAAGCGUUGUUCGGAAUUACUGGGCGUAAAGGGCUCGUAGGCGGCCAACUAAGUCAUACGUGAAAUCCCUCGGCUUAACCGGGGAACUGCGUCUGAUACUGGAUGGCUUGAGUUCGGGAGAGGGAUGCGGAAUUCCAGGUGUAGCGGUGAAAUGCGUAGAUAUCUGGAGGAACACCGGUGGCGAAGGCGGCAUCCUGGACCGAUACUGACGCUGAGGAGCGAAAGCCAGGGGAGCAAACGGGAUUAGAUACCCCCGUAGUCC